rnacentral:tRNA from 1 species
AGUCUUAUAUUCAAUAAAUGAUAUAAAAUUGCAAAUUUUAAGGUGUAUAAAUUUACUAAGGCUU